AACCAGCACCUCAAGUGGUCAGGAGGAUUAUUGGGCCUAAAGCAUCCGCAGCCUGUUCUAUAAGUUUGCGGUUAAAUCUAUACGCUCAACGUAUAUGCUGCCGUAAGUACUGUAGAACUAGGGAGUGGGAGAGGUAGACGGUACUCGAUAGGAAGGGGUAAAAUCCUUUGAUUUAUUGAUGACCACCUGUGGCGAAGGCGGUCUACCAGAACACGUUCGACGGUGAGGGAUGAAAGCUGGGGGAGCAAACCGG
rnacentral:rRNA from 1 species